CCAACAGAGCUGGGGCUGGAAGGAUGGAGGCCUCUGGUCCAGCAAGAAGCCCGCUGCCCAGAUGCUCGGGAGGUGGGGGUCCCUGCCUGCCCCAGCCCUGCAGUUCUGAGGUUCAGGGGCCCUGGGCUCACAUGAGCUCUGAGAGCAGCAAAGGGGAGAAGGAAGGCUCUGGAAGCCUCUUGGCACGAAACCCCAGCCAGAAACUCUGUCGGCUCCGUCUACAAGGAUCUCCGUGGGGACCAAGGCUCCAAGAAGGGCAACUUUGGGCCAUUUGUGCAUGUCAUCCAUCCCAUCAUUCCGGCACCCAACAGCCACGGUGAGGGCCUCCCGUGGGCGCAGCCUGCCUCAUGGGGCCUCAUGAGCCUGUGGGGGAAGAGACAGCUCCUCGAGUAGGUGCCUCUGCUCGUCCCUGGAAAGAGCUCAGCCCUUCUCCACCUGGCAAACUCCUGUUCACCCCUCAACACCCAGAUCUAUGACUCUGACCCAGGUCCCACUAGUUCUGAGGAAGAGCAAGUGGCUUGAUUUGGUGACGGGGAGAACGAGGCGGGUGGGGGAGGUGCAUCCCCAGGCCCACAGGAGGAGCUUGGCUUGUGUGUGGCACGGUCCACACCUCGUGAACCAACCUUCCAUCCAGGAGAGGAGCGAUGAAGAUAGAUGUGCCCGAGCGUGCACUGUGGACCCCUAAGCAGGGCGCGGGGGGUGGAAGGGUGAUGUUGACCUCAGGAUGCUUUCUUCAAGGCUUGUCUCGUGGGGCCUUUGGGGAACAUCUGGCCUGGACCCUCAGGGUCUCUUCCUGCGCUGACUCACGAUGCGACAGCACAGGCUGGAAGGUCCGUGUCCACUGGGAGAGGCUGGACAGGCGAGUGGCAGAGCCCCAGGUGAACGGCCCGUGGGGGGAUGUUGCUGUAUCCACGUUAUUUCCUCCUCCAAACACCAAGACUUCGACGACCGAGGCAGCGACGCCCGCAGGCUGACACUGAUGCACAGAUGGAGUCAGCAACGUGGAUUUGUCCCCACGUCCCUGGUGCAGAGUGAUCCGGGGAAACAGUCCUGGGGAACACGGGGGCACUGCCCGGCUGGGCUGCCAGGGCCCUCUGAGCCCCUCUGCUCCAGUCCUCAUCGGCUGGGCAGGUAUGGUCCAGAGAGGGAAACUGCCCUGCCCAGAGCCACACAGCACAUCAGGGACCAGCCACGGCUGGACAAGGACUGACUGCUGGUGGGGGGUUCCCACCCUUUGUGGGAGAGCCUGGGGCCCCCUGAGCCCUCGCACUCCCAGGCUCUUGCUGGGCCCCCAGGGAAACGCCCUACACCCUCCCGGGCCCUCCAGGCAGCCCUGGCUCCAGCAGGUGCCCUUAUCGAGAAGAGGCAGCCGGGUUUUCUCUGCCCCACGUUUCUCCCCGCUGUGCCACACUGGCAGGCGUUUCUGUCUGCCCGCCUGCCCUCUGCUGGGUCCCUCGGCCAUGGUGAGGGGCUUGGAGCAGGACAAGAAGCCAAGUCUUGCACUUGUGGUUUGGAUCCACGAGAGAAUGGGUGCUGGCUGCUGAGGGCUCCCCUCUGGCUCCUGGGAGGAACACCCGGGACCCAGAGGUGCCGCGCUGUGGUCGAGGCCACGAGGGGUGAGGGGCCUGGGGGCUGAACCUCAGAGGUGGGGCUGAGAGGCUGAGAGUUGGAGAGAAGCAGAACCUGUGGGCGCCUGCAGGGGGGUGGCAGCCGACGGUGCCGGAGACGCCCUCACAGGGCGGACAGAUGCACAGACGCUGCCCACGGGGUUGGGCUUCUCUGGGGCAUGGGGGGAGUGGAGGCUGCCCCACCCCACCUCAUUCCUCCUCACCGAGCCUUCGACCCUGCGCCCUCAGCUCUGUCCCUCCAGCGUCUAGGCCCGUGACAGUGUCCUCUGUUGCACGGAGUGCCAAGCCAAGGACAAGAGCCAGGCCCGAAGCCGGCAUCCCACCCACGCCCACUGGGCCACUCAGCCGAGGCCCUAACGCUGGCCCAGGUUUGAGUCCUGGCUCUGCCUCCUGCAGGACGCGGUGCCUGCAGCCGCUGAGGACUUCUCUGGUCCUCAGUUUCCUCACCUGAAGAGUGGAGGCAAUCAUAGUAUUGGAUCCUUGUGUGGAUUAAACAGCGAUGCUUAGGGCUCCAAAUUGUGCCCGGCACGGAGAAGCUCCUGGUAUGCCCAUAACACGGAUGGAGAGACCGAGGAACAGAGAAGUCUGUAACUGAUCCAAGGCCACACAGCAAUGGUGGGGCCAGGAUCUGGACCCCGUGCUCUCACCCGCACCCACAUUCCAGCAGCUGAACAGCUCAGCCUUCGACUUGGGGUGCUGUGCGGGCGUUACAGCACCAGAAAGAAUGUCACAGUCAGCAUCAGACAUCGCUGCUCUGAAUGAGGCACGAGGCACAGAGCAGUUGGCACAACAGAGAAGCCCCCCCCAUCUAGGGAAUUUCUGUGCUGGCCUGGGGAGGGGGACACGGACGACAAACAGGCAAACCAGCAGAUGGACAGAUGGCUCGAUGGAUGAGUAGGCUGAGACGGGUGACGGGGCACACUACGGCCUCUCUGAGGAGGUGACACUUUUGCAGAGAGGGAAUGACUAGGAAGACAGAGUGGACAGUCCAGCAGGCGGAGGGCAGGGCGAAGGUCGGAGGUGGGGUCAAGGUUGGGGCCUGGGGGGUCAGACAGGAGCCCGGAGCUGGGUGCCGGGUCCGCCUGGGGUCAGACUUCCUCUGCCGCGUCCUGGGAGGGUUUAAGCACCGGCAGGGGCGGCCUGAUGGCAGCUCUGGGGGGGGAGCCCAGCUUCCCCGGAGAGGCACAGAGCUUUGGCGCCGUCUGCCCUGGGUGGAUCCCAUCCCUCCGGCCAGAGCCUGGGCUCGGCUACGGACUGUCCUCAGACCGUCCACCCGGAGAGGACAGCGAAGGCCAGCUGGAGUGUCAUCAGCAAGGUGGUUAUCACUGAGUCCUGACGCCAACGCCCAGCGCAGGGCCCGCCUCGGUGCAGGGGAAGCUCUACGCCCGCCCCCCUCUCCCGCCUACAGCCUCUCUUGUCCGUCUCCCCCAGCCUCGGCCCUGGCCCCGGCCCCAGGGGCUCGGCAGAGGAACUCAGAUGGUUCAUCUCUUCCCGUGAAGUGCCAGCCUAGCAGCAGGAGAGCCCUGCACUUGCUGGAGAGAUUUCCCGUCCGGAGGAGCAGGGGUACUGUCCUGAGCAGCGGGGGCUCUGCGGGCAGCUCUGCCUCCCACACCCUGUGAGACCCCAGCCAGGGCCGCCUCCUGGGCCUCUGCUCUCUGCAGCGCAACAUGGGCCAGUGGGCCCAGCUCUCAGGCUGCAGCUCAUCCCCAACUGCAGUUUGUCCCCUCCUGUAGCUCAUUCCUUCCUGAAGCUUGUCCCUUCCUGCAAUGUGCCCUCCUCGUGCUCCUAUAAGCCUUACUACCCCAGGGUGGGGACGUGGGGGUGAGAGGCAAGAACAGGACUCAGAAGAGACAGGCCUGCCCAUCGACCGCCAGCAGCCCACUUCUCCCUGCCUCAACGUCCUCAUCUGUCAG
rnacentral:lncRNA from 1 species